CUUCAGCAGCAGCAGCAGCAGCAGCUGCUGCUGCUGCUGCUGCUGCUGCUGCUGUUGCAGGGGCGGCUGCCGCAGCUGCUGCUGCAGCAGCUGCUGCAGCAGCUGCUGCAGCAGCUGCUGCAGCAGCUGCUGCUGAUGUGCUGCUGGUGCUGUUGCUACGGCUGCAGAAGCAGCAGCAGCUGCUGCUGCAGCGGCUGUUGCAGCAGCAGCUGCAGCAGCAGCAGCAGCAACAGCUGCAGCAGCGGCGCUCGUGCUGCUGCGGUAAGAG
rnacentral:sRNA from 1 species